CACAUAACUCUUGAUGUUCUUCUGCUCUGUGCUCUGUGCUUGUGUAGUUUCUAAUGAUUCUUCUGCAUAGCUCUUAACAUUCUUCCACUCUGUGCUCUGCACUCAUAUAGUCUCUAACAAUUCUUUCAUAUAGCUUCUUACAUUCUCCCACUCUGUGUUCUGCACUCACAUAGUCUCUAACAAUUCUUCCAUGUAGCUCUCAAUGAUUUCUUCAUCCCACAUUUCAUACUUGUGUAGCUUCUAAUGAUUUUUACACAUACUUCUUAAUGUUCUUUCACUCCACACUUCACUGUGAAGUGGCUUCUGAUAUUCUUCUGUCUCAAACUUUCCUCUAUAAGAAUCCUCUUUAUAUGAUCUUUUCUUCUGAUUUCUUUUCUCUUUCUUUUCUUAAUCAAUUUGUAAUCUGUAAUUAG
rnacentral:sRNA from 1 species